rnacentral:tRNA from 1 species
GGGGAUAUAGCUCAGUUAGUAGAGUGUUUGCCUCAUAUGCACAAAGCCCUGGGUUUAAUCCUCAGCACCACCC